rnacentral:rRNA from 1 species
UGGCCAGACUCCUACGGGAGGCAGCAGUGGGGAAUAUUGCACAAUGGGGGGAACCCUGAUGCAGCGACGCCGCGUGAGUGAAGAAGUAUCUCGGUACGUAAAGCUCUAUCAGCAGGGAAGAAAAUGACGGUACCUGACUAAGAAGCCCCGGCUAACUACGUGCCAGCAGCCGCGGUAAUACGUAGGGGGCAAGCGUUAUCCGGAUUUACUGGGUGUAAAGGGGGCGCAGACGGCGAUGCAAGCCAGGAGUGAAAGCCCGGGGCCCAACCCCGGGACUGCAUUGGGAACUACCGGGCUGGAGUGCCGGAGAGGUAGGCGGAAUUCCUAGUGUAGCGGUGAAAUGCGUAGAUAUUAGGAGGAACACCAGUGGCGAAGGCGGCCUACUGGACGGUGACUGACGCUGAGGCUCGAAAGCGUGGGGAGCAAACAGGAUUAGAUACCCCAGUA